GAGUUUGAUCCUGGCUCAGAGUGAACGCUGGCGGUAGGCCUAACACAUGCAAGUCGAACGGCAACACAGUAAGAGCUUGUUCUUAUGGGUGGCGAGUGGCGGACGGGUGAGGAAUACAUCGGAAUCUACUCUGUCGUGGGGGAUAACGUAGGGAAACUUACGCUAAUACCGCAUACGACCUACGGGUGAAAGCAGGGGAUCUUCGGACCUUGCGCGAUUGAAUGAGCCGAUGUCGGAUUAGCUAGUUGGCGGGGUAAAGGCCCACCAAGGCGACGAUCCGUAGCUGGUCUGAGAGGAUGAUCAGCCACACUGGAACUGAGACACGGUCCAGACUCCUACGGGAGGCAGCAGUGGGGAAUAUUGGACAAUGGGCGCAAGCCUGAUCCAGCCAUACCGCGUGGGUGAAGAAGGCCUUCGGGUUGUAAAGCCCUUUUGUUGGGAAAGAAAUCCAGCUGGCUAAUACCCGGUUGGGAUGACGGUACCCAAAGGAUAA
rnacentral:rRNA from 2 species